rnacentral:rRNA from 2 species
ACGAAGUGUGGACGCCAGUCUGCACGGAGCCAUCCUUGAAAUACCACCCUUUAACGUUUGAUGUUCUAACCCGGGUCCAUAAUCUGGAUCGGGGACCGUGUCUGGUGGGUAGUUUGACUGGGGCGGUCUCCUCCCAAAGAGUAACGGAGGAGCACGAAGGUUGGCUAAGCAUGGUCGGACAUCAUGCGGUUAGUGCAAAGGCAUAAGCCAGCUUGACUGCGAGAGUGACGGCUCGAGCAGGUACGAAAGUAGGUC